UACGUAGGGGGCAAGCGUUGUCCGGAAUCAUUGGGCGUAAAGAGCGUGUAGGCGGUUCGGUAAGUCGGCUGUGAAAGUCCAGGGCUCAACCCUGGGAUGCCGGUCGAUACUGCUGGACUAGAGUUCGGAAGAGGCGGGUGGAAUUCCCGGUGUAGCGGUGAAAUGCGCAGAUAUCGGGAGGAACACCUAUGGCGAAGGCGAGUCCCUGGACAACUCCUGACGCUGAGGCACGAAAGCUAGGGGAGCAAACAGG
rnacentral:rRNA from 1 species